UGGGGGGGUGCUUACCAUGCAAGUCGAACGGUGAACCAGGAGCUUGCUCUUGGGGAUCAGUGGCGAACGGGUGAGUAACACGUGAGUAACCUGCCCCAGACUCUGGGAUAAGCCUUGGAAACGAGGUCUAAUACCGGAUACGCGACUCCACCGCAUGGUGAGGGUUGGGAAAGUUUUUCGGUCUGGGAUGGACUCGCGGCCUAUCAGCUUGUUGGUGAGGUAAUGGCUCACCAAGGCGACGACGGGUAGCCGGCCUGAGAGGGCGACCGGCCACACUGGAACUGAGACACGGUCCAGACUCCUACGGGAGGCAGCAGUGGGGAAUAUUGCACAAUGGGCGCAAGCCUGAUGCAGCGACGCCGCGUGGGGGAUGAAGGCCUUCGGGUUGUAAACCCCUUUCAGCAGGGAAGAAGCGAAAGUGACGGUACCUGCAGAAGAAGCGCCGGCUAACUACGUGCCAGCAGCCGCGGUAAUACGUAGGGCGCAAGCGUUGUCCGGAAUUAUUGGGCGUAAAGAGCUCGUAGGCGGUUUGUCGCGUCUGCUGUGAAAUCCCGAGGCUCAACCUCGGGCCUGCAGUGGGUACGGGCAGACUAGAGUGUGGUAGGGGAGACUGGAAUUCCUGGUGUAGCGGUGGAAUGCGCAGAUAUCAGGAGGAACACCGAUGGCGAAGGCAGGUCUCUGGGCCACAACUGACGCUGAGGAGCGAAAGCGUGGGGAGCGAACAGGAUUAGAUACCCUGGUAGUCCACGCCGUAAACGGUGGGCACUAGAUGUGGGGCUCUUUCCAUGAGUUCCGCGUCGCAGCUAACGCAUUAAGUGCCCCGCCUGGGGAGUACGGCCGCAAGGCUAAAACUCAAAGGAAUUGACGGGGGCCCGCACAAGCGGCGGAGCAUGCGGAUUAAUUCGAUGCAACGCGAAGAACCUUACCAAGGCUUGACAUAUACCCUCUAUCCCCAGAGAUGGGGAGUGCUUCGGCGGGGUAUACAGGUGGUGCAUGGUUGUCGUCAGCUCGUGUCGUGAGAUGUUGGGUUAAGUCCCGCAACGAGCGCAACCCUCGUCCUAUGUUGCCAGCACGUGAUGGUGGGGACUCAUAGGAGACUGCCGGGGUCAACUCGGAGGAAGGUGGGGAUGACGUCAAAUCAUCAUGCCCCUUAUGUCUUGGGCUUCACGCAUGCUACAAUGGCCGGUACAAUGGGCUGCGAUACCGUAAGGUGGAGCGAAUCCCAAAAAGCCGGUCUCAGUUCGGAUUGAGGUCUGCAACUCGACCUCAUGAAGUCGGAGUCGCUAGUAAUCGCAGAUCAGCAACGCUGCGGUGAAUACGUUCCCGGGCCUUGUACACACCGCCCGUCAAGUCACGAAAGUCGGUAACACCCGAAGCCAGUGGCCCAACCCUUUUGGGGGGGAGCUGUCUAAGGUGGAUG
rnacentral:rRNA from 1 species